UAGUUGAUUUUAGGCACUGGACUAGAAGUUGCCAUUUUAGUGGUUUUGCAGAAAAGGGAUUGUAGAACUGACUCUCUGGCCUUGCCAGUCUCUUGGUGUUUGUAUUUUAUUUUCAUUUCUAAGAAACAGUGUUCUCACUCCAACUUGUAUACCUUAGUAACUUUCUGUGGGAUAUAAUUUAUAUGUGUUUACAUAAUGGAAUAUUUUCUAGUUGGGCUAAGCAAAAUUCAGUCGUUAAAAUAUUUUGCUAUCUUUGUCGUGUUGCUCAGAAUUAUGCUUGUUUGUCAUAAUGGUACCUAAUAGGGUAGACUGAAAAAUUGCCAGGAAAACAGGAGCUUACUCUGUACUAUUGUCAUUGGGCAUUAAGAAUUGGCAGAAGACAUAUCAAAUGGAAAGACUUUUUGUAGUAAACAAACUAAUGAAGCUUUUGGCUAGCUACUUUUAAACAUUUACUUCUUGUUUCCUGAUUAAGUCUUUAUAUUAUUGUGCUUUUGGGAAAAGACCUGCAAGAUGAACUCAUUGAACUCGUUUCUCUGAGUGCCACUUUUCUCAAAAUUAGGCUUUGGUGAUGGUAGGCUUAGCACAUUGCUAAGGCCUGGCAUGCGGCUCACUAGUUCUCUUGCUCACCUACAGGGGAAGUGCAUGCCAUCAGCAAACAGGCACAGGUUGGAAUAAAGCGAUGCAUUUCUAGUGCUUGUUGGCUUCCUUGUGGUUUUUUUUUCUCUCCCUGCUUACUUUUGGUAGUUACAAAGUUGAAGUGAGAAUACUGGAAAAAGAUAAUUUUUUGCUUCUGGAUUACUGAAUGCCUUCAUUUGCUCAGGGCAUCUCUGAUGUUUUUUAUCUGAACAUCGUCCACCUUGUUUCUUCUUCUGUGCAUUCUGUGAGCAUUGGACUCCUUGCUUCUGCCCUGAAGCCAGAUGGACCAUAAUCUGGAGGGAGGGGAGGAGCAGGUUAGUAGAGGAAGAUGAAUUCUGUUUCCUGUCUCUUCAGAGGCAUGGAAAAUCACUCUUGCAUGGCUGUGAGCAUCACUGUGCCAGGACUGAAGGCUCUUAAUCUGAUCUUUUAACACCGGCUCUCUGUGUGACAGUCUCGCUACCAAAACGGCAGCUGCUGCAUUAGAAUUUAUUUUAAAAUGUUUUUAUUUAAAAAUUAAAUGAUCGUAUUUAGGAAAAAGCAAAACAAUUCCUGAAGAGUAGUGCAUAAGCUAACAGAACAUUGGCUGGAGCGAUUGUGAGCAUCUGAAGUCAGGCUUUUUGGAGUUUGACAGGAACAAGGGGUAUAUUUACAUACUGUUAGAUGAAGUCUCUUUUUAAUUUAGCCCCCAUGUGUUGAUUAAUAUACCUGCUUAAUAUUGCUUGCGUCUGGUUUACCGCAUUUUUUUAAACUUAAAAAAACUAUAUAGUACUGAAUGAUAACUAUUAAAUUUAGCUUUAACUUCAAGACUUUUUCUUUUUAGAAAUGAGUUGUAUAAUUGUGUUCAGAAGUACUUGAAGUGUGUCUGUAUAUGAAAAUCACAGAAAAAUAUUUUCCUAUUAGAGUUUACUAAAACAUUUAAAAAUAUUAAAGCCAAUAUAUACUUUAAUAAUGUGCUGUUGCACUCACGUACAACUGCUUCCAGCGUUACAGGCAUUUGACAAAGAUAUUGCCAACUCUUGUCAUUAAAAGUGAGUACUCAUCACUUGGAGUUCAUAGAAUUUCACAGGAUUCUCAAUAUCAGAAUUUAGAAAAACCUUGUGAACCCUCAUCUGUCCCAAGCUGUUCUUUUCUCUCACUUCACUUUUUAGCUUUUAGGAAUGGAUAAGACUCAAAUUUAUUCUUCAAAAAGCCAUCUCAAGGUGGUAAACGGGAAGCUCUUUUCUUUCCCUAUUUCGGUCUCAUUUGCAGGGGAAGAACUAUAAAUAUCAACUCUGAGUUGGCAGUUCCAUAAACAAGAGAUGCCAGGAUGAUGACAGUUGGAUCUGGGUCCUGGCCUCCCUAUUACAAAUCGUGUGGUUUACUCUAACUGGGCUAAGCUGGGUGACCUUUAGCAAGUGAUGUGCCUCUCUAAGCCUCAGUUUCCUCAUCUGUAUGAUGAAGUUAAUCAUAGCGUGAAACACAUCCAAUGUCUGUGAAGAUUACUUGGGAUUAUACCCAGGUAGCUUAGCACACAAUAAGCACCUACUGCCGUUGACUAGUGGGAUUAACUACAGUAGCAGCAGUGGAGCUCUGUCUCCUCUUGGGAGGAGCUAGAACCAGCCCUCCCUCCCUUUUCUAAUCAUUGCAUUUGGGAAGAAUGUGAAUUGAUUAUCUUCCUCUCUAAUGUCCUUAUAGAAGAAAAAAUGAAAAUUAAAAGUGAACCCAGGGCCUUGAACUAGCUAAAAAUCUAUGUUUUUGUUUCCAUUGGCAAUUUUGGGAUAUGGCUUAUAGACCCUUAGACCUCAGUGGGUCCUUAGUAAAACUGAGGAUUGCCAAUAAAUAUUGUAUUGCUUCCAGUAUCCCAGUAACAACUCCUCCUCCAUCCCCCAAUUCCAGGAACAUAUCUAUGUAGAGAGUCUAAGGUGGACCUAAAACUCUACAUCACUGUUACACCCUGGCAGUAAGGGACAGCAUUUCUGCUAAUUUAGAAUUGGGCUAGCUCUCCCUCUUCACUAGCUUUGCAUUGCAAAGUUGAUCUCUCUAAGCCUUAGUAUUCCUGUAGAAUAAGGAGAGUAAGCCCACCUUUACAAUGUGUAUUAUAUGUAUCAAAAUGUAACAGACUUGGCAUAGGGAGUGCCGUUUCCCCACCUGCUCUUUUCCUAUUUUACUUCCAGGGAAAUAGAUUCUAUUUCAGGUUAUUUGGGGUCCUAAGACAUUUGGAAAGGAAUGACUUAGUAAAAACUGGGAAGAGUUCAAGGUAAUAUUUCAAACGAGCUGGCUGGCAGUCUUCCUGCAGAGUUAGCUAGGCCUUGCAGCUCCAGUAGCUGCUUCCAACGAUGGACAUUUAGCUCCACACAGGUUAUCUUUCAGGAGGAAGGGAAUUUUUUUUUUUUUAAGUAAACCAGUAGGUAUUUUUCUUAACCUGUUAGAUUAAGCAGGAAAUAUUGUGCACUUAGUUGAGGACCUGUUGGAGGAUAGUUGUGUUUUUUGUACUCUUGUUUCCCUAUAAGGAUCACUUUUAAGAUAGGGUAUGUUUCACAGUGAUCCACAAGGUGUUCCUAAGAUCUUUGAGAACCUCAAACUCUUGAAAAGCAGUAGGUCAGUAGGUGAAAAGUUUAUUACGUUAUAGUUGAAAAUUAUUCUCCAGGGUACAGUUGUAUUUUUCAGAAACUUGUCGCUUCAGUAACAAGGAGCACAUUCAUUGGAAGAGGCACAUUAGGCAAGAGGCAAUGUAAUAAAAGCUGGAGGUCAGCCAGACCCAGGACUAAAUCUUGGCUCAGCCACUUGCUUUCUUUAAAAUGUGGAGCAAAAUACUUAACUUUUCUGGGCUGCAGUUUGCUUAUCGGUAUAAUGGGAUACCUGUACUGUAGGAUUUUUAUAUGAGGAUUCGUGACAGUGUAAAAGGACCUCACUGAAUGUUUGGCUGCUUUAACAGAGAUCAAAGGAACAGUGGUUUUUUCAAGGAAAAAAAAAAAAAAGCUUGUUUCUCUCUCAUGUAAUAGUAACAGUUGACAGCGAAGCCAUCUAUAGCUAAUUUGGUGACUCCAUGAUGUUGUGAAUUCGGUUCCUUUUAUAUCGACGUUCAUCAUCCUUGCACCAUUGUGUCUUGCCCCAGCGUCAGCUGGCAGGAAAGAGAAAGGAAUGGGCAAGUUAUUUCCUUUUAAGGUUGCCCUCUUUGCAGUGGCCAGCACUUAGUUACCUGCCCACAGAUAGUUGUAAGGGAGAUACAGAAAUGUAGUCUUAGCUGAGUGACCAUUAUGCCCCCCUAAAACUUACACCAGUGUAAGAGAAGGGAUACUGGGGGACAACUGCCACUUGCUUCCAGACAUAAUGCUAUGCACAAAAUAAAAAUUAUGGCUAUUGUUACUGCUAAUGGUUUAUCUUUACAUAACAAACUCUAGCUUUGACUAUGUAAUUAGCACAUCUCAUGUUUUUCAGUUACAUAAGAUAUAAAAUAAUGCAUAGUUCUUGUUAUAGAAGUCUCUUCCUUACCAUUCGAAUGUUGGAGAAGAGUCACCCAUCAGGUAUUAUUUAUCAUUCAUACAUUCAUAGGGGAUGGAAAAGAACCUACAUGAACAGUAUGGCCUCUGUGGGCUGUCUAUAUUUGUGUUUCUUAUGACCAGUGGCUUCCUAAUUCUCAUUUAUUAAACUCAUGGUCAUUGUUACCUUUAGAGAAAUGGCAUUCAUUUUUAACCUUGUUAUUAGCAGACUUGUUUCUAGUCACUGGGUGCCAAGGAGGAUGGACAUUUUCCUCCUUCUACACUCCUGUAAUUCCAUGACUGUUUUUUUUGGUGGUGGUGGUUGUUUUUUGAGUCGAAACAGAAGCCGAGCUGCUCAGAGGCUGAUGGAGGAGCCCUGCAGGCUAGUCCUCACAGCAAUGAUGAGGAGCACACCUGGGGGCCUGCACUUGCACAUGAACGGAGCUGUUUUUCCCUUGCAUCAGUUAUUUUAAGAAAAUAUUGGUUUAACAAAUGAAAUAAAGAAGACGUUAUUCUUUUUACAAUAUUUAACAAUAGUUCUCUGAUCAUUAGAAUAUUGAGAAUAUAAAAGGGAAAUUAGGACCUAAAAAUGGAAACCUUCCAUUUUUAUACUUAUUUUACCUGGGGAAAAGGGAACUUCCAUACCAACCUGAAUGCUUUCUGGUGCAAAUUUAAUUUUAACUUAAAACUUGGUUUGUAUUGCCCUGUUAGCUUUUCUAACACGUAGUACCAAGUAGUGUUUGGGCACUCUCCAUUGCAUUUAUUUGGUAGAAAAUAAUAGUCAAUUACAUAAUAGUGAUAAUAUGAGUUUAUUUGAAUUAUAAAUCCAACAGGCUAGAAAAGCUAGUCACAUCAAACGAUACAUAAACUCCUGUUUUGGACAUGCCAUAAAUUUGGUCCAUGUAAUUUGAUGGAAAACAAACCCCUUCUACUACAUUGUGAUAUAUGAGUAUAUCUCAGAUGCUGUUUACUUGGGCAUCUCGGUUAAUAUGGUACUGAAUUACUUGGAGCCACAUUUUGCAUGUAUAGAAUAAUUGUGAAAUGAAAGUUGAAAAAUGUGAUCAGUCACUUUCAUAUUGUGCCUUCGGGAGGAAAUGAAGAAAAUACAGUGGUUAUAUGCACUGGUGGAAGUGUUAUCGCCUUACAGUCGUGCCAGGUUAACUUGUCUUAUUGCUUGUUAACUUUGCGAGGAAUCAAUGGCUUGUGAUAACAGGUUUGAUAUAGGAGAGCAUGGUUAAAAUUGCAGAGAUCCCCUGGCAAGUAUGCAGUGACAUCCCUAAGACCAUCUUCAGAAAGUGCUUGUGUUAAGUGCCAGCAGCCUGCACAGGGCACGUCUGCUUCCCAGUUGGAGCCAUUUUGUCAGUCUUGGUAAUAUGUUAUGACAGUGCCAUAUAUCGGAAGAAUGUCCUAAAAUGAAUAAUAGACAUGGAUUGGGGCUUCUGGGGAUUUGGCCCAGUUUUCUGAUUUUCACAUUAGGUUGUGGGCAUGGGUAACUUUUCAUUUAAAAAAUAUAUAUUUUCUCAUAAUACUGAAUGAGCCAUCAGAGAGCGUAAUUCUGUCCCAUAUUCCGUGGUUGACUGAUUGGCUUGCUGUACCUGACCAUGUAUUUUGGUGACAGUUGGCUGCUUGGUGAGAUUCAUCUGGUGGCAUCAUGGCCUGUUUGACCUCAAGAAGUGAAAGAUGAUUCUCAGGAGGUAGAACUUUUUUCCUGUGGUUUAAAUGUGGGUCUCUAUCCAAAGGCAGCAAUGCCAACCUUUAUCUGUAUGUCUCAACAAAUUAAUGAGUGUUUGAGAACUGACUCAUUUAUUUGACUUUUAGUUAGGUAGUGAUUAGAUUAUUAUUAGUGGAGCUAAGUUUGAAGGUACCUUGAGUAGAGCUGCAUUGUCCAAUACAGUAGUAGCUAUGUAAAGUUGAAUAAAAUUAAAAGUUCAGUUUCUUAGUUACUCUAGCUACAUUUCAAGUGCUCAGUAUCCACUCAUAUGUGGCUAGUGGCUGUCAUAUUAUUAGCACAGAUACAGAACAUUUCCAACAUUGCCCAAAGUUCUGUUGGACAGCAGUGAAUUUGUAGAGCUUACCUAUCCGUGAAGAAUGCCCUGUCCCCAUGUAAGUGAGAGUGGAGAAGGCAAGGCCAGGUAGGCAGUCAGUAAUGUGCUCCUAAGAGCUUUAAUCCCAUGUUCCACAGCUAAAAUUGUUUGGGAAGCCAGGUAUACUUAUUUACUCUCUCUAAGCUUUGUGGUGCUGAGAUAACCUGCAGUUUACCGGGUAUUUGCCAAAUUAAACCUGUGUUUGUGUACGUGUAUGUAUGUGUCUAAGUAAUAUCUAAAGUAAUAUCUAAUUUCUUGGGUGACUGUGUUGGGCUGUUCUUGCAUUGCUAUAAAGAAAUACCUGAGACUGGGUAAUUUAUAAAGAAAAGGCUUUAUUGGCUCAUGGUUCUGUAGGCUGCACAAGCAUGGCACCAACAUUACUUGGCUUCUGGGGAGGACUCAGGGAGCUUUUUUUACUCAUGAUGGAAGGCGAAGUGGUGAAAGCAGAAAAGGAGAGAGAGAUUGAGGGGGAGGUGUCAUACACUUUUUAAGGGCCAGAUAUUGUGAGAACUCACUCUCUGUUGCGAAGACAACAUCAGGCCAUGAAGGAUUCACCCCCAUGACCCAGACACCUCCCACCAGGCCCCACCUCCAGCAUUGGGAAUUACAAUUCAAUGUGAGAUUGGAGUUGGGACAAAUAUGCAAACUGUAUCAGAUUAAUGUUUCUUUGAAUACUGUAUAGGAAAGGCUGAUUUGGGGAGAUUGGGUUAAAUUUAAGUUGAUUUGUACUAGCAAAUUUAAUAGAGUUGCUGAAAAAGGCUUUUAGUGGGAUUUUUUAUCCUGACUUAGCAGACAUGGAGCGACACUUUCACUUGAAUUUGAUCUGCUUGGCCAUACCUGGAGUAAUGUGCACUACAAGGAGACUAGCCAGAAGGAUGGAUGAGUGGGCUAGAGCCCAUGACACAGAGAAAUUGUUGAGUGACCUUAGGAUGGUUAACCUAGAAGAGAUAAAAUUGAGAACAUGCAUUAUGCAUUGUCAUAUACUUGGAGUGUCAGUCAAUGGAGGAGAAUUUAAAGACAAAACUGGGUCCAGUGGGGAAGAAUUAAUGGCAGGGUAGAUUUCAACUUAGUAUUAGGGCUCAUUAUCCCAAAAUGGAAAAAGCUUGUCCAUGAGGUAGUGAAUUGCCUUUCACAGGAGGUGAUCAAGGAGAGACUGGUUAGGGUGUGACAGAGGAGAUUGAUUCAUUGGAUAGAGUAGUGGCCUUUGGGCUGUGGUUGGUACUGUAGUUCCGCCAUCCCAAUCUGCUCAGCCCCGGCAGUGUUUAGAAAUUUGCGUGCUUUUGGUGAUAGGGAGAGUCUUUUGUUGAUUGGUUGGUUGGUUGAUUGUUAAUAGUGCCUGGGGUACUCUGGCAUCUGGGUCUCAUGGUCUCUAAAGGCCUUUUCCAGUUCUGAAUUUCUAUGAGUGGCUUCUUAAGUACAUGUGGCUAAUGGCUUCUAUUAGCCAAAAGGGCAUUUGGUCCAAGUUCGGGCCUAAGUAUCUUUCACCCUAGAAUAUUGCAGCCCUCUAACUGUUUACCCUUCAAUCUGGUUUACCUCUCUGCCAUCCACCUUCUUUACUUUUCCCAGAUCCAUCUUACUCAAAUGCAGAACUGAUAGCACAUAGCUGCUUAAAAUUUUUUAAUAACAUCUCAUUUCCUACCAGGAUAAAGUCCAACUUUUUUGCAUGUCAUGCAAAGCCCUUUGCUGUUUGGCCUCCUCCUGUCUUGCCAGAAUUCAUUUCCCACUAAUACUUGGUUCUUUAAAGCAUUUCCAUGCUACACUCAUGUCUUCAUCCAUUUUCCUUUAUUUUUCUUUGUGUGCACACCCUUUCCACUUUAAAGUGUUCUUGCUUAUGUGUCUUAUCAUACCCAAGAAGGCCCUAUGAAAUUCUACUCUGCUUGUCUGCAGCUGUGUCCCCUACCUGCUCUCCCUCUUCCAGCCACACAGACAUUCUUGCUCUUCCUAUAAGGCCCCUACCCAGUUCUCUUCCCUUUGCCUGGAAUUCUUUUAUCCUCAUUCUUCAUCUACAGAAUUCCUGGAAAUCCUUCAGGUCUCAGUUGUCAGGUCAGCUUCCUAAGGGAAUCUUCCCCUAGCCCCAAUAUUAGAUUAAGAUAUUUCCCUGAUAAAUGAUUGGGUAGCAUCCUGUAAUUUUUCUUAUGGAAAUUAUCCUCCAGUUGUAAUUAUAGAGCCUUUUGAGCAUUAAUUCACUGACUGUUUUCCUUGAUAGAGUUUAAAUUCUAUGAGAUCAAAGACUAUGGUUCUUGUUCCUUACUCUAACCUUAGUAUCUCCCUACCACAGUGCCUGGUGCCAUAGUAGGUGCUUAAUAAAUAUUUGAAUGAAUGGAUGAAAAAAACAAAGCCUUCCCAGAUGCCGCGGGAAGUGCGCUGGCCAUUUCCUCCUAAAACUUCUUUCUGUUUUAUAUCCUGUAUUCCUCUAAGAUGUGCUCUGUGUAUGAGUUCAUCACGUGAGAAGCAGGGCCAUUGGUCUUACUUUCACCUCUCCACAUGUUGGAGACUUUAAUUAAUAUUGUUCAUUAUGAGAAUCCUAGUUUAUUUUGUUUCAUUUUAUAUCUAUCUCUACCCUUAUACUCUUUUACUACCCCAGUCAAUAUGGGGAGUACUUUUUAAAUGUUUUUUUAAAAUUUUAAUUUAUAAAAUUUUGAAGCAUACUUUAGAGAGAGAAUAUACUGAACCUACAGGUACCCAUACUAAACAUCGGCAGUAAUCAGCAUUUUGUCUUUUUGUCUCAUUUAUUCCUUAGGGGAGUUCUUUUGUUUUUGUUUUAUUAUUAUUUUUUUUUAAUUCUGAGGUGUACUAUAGCUUUUUAUUACGGUUUUUUAUUAGAAGUACUGCAUCUGUUGCUGUGCCCUAAAACAUUGGCAUGACAGGUAUUCUCAUCAUAAUACCUUCUGAGAAAUAUAUAUUAAACACCUACUAUACACAUAUUACUGGUUUGUUAAGGUCUGCUUUUUAGCAGGCUUUUUUGGACUUAUGAGCUGGUAUUAUUUUAGUUUCUUAUAGAAAAAAUAUAUUAGUACUUUGUCUGAACAAAUGCCAGAAAUAAUUUUAUGAUGAUGGAAGUAAGGCAAGUGAUUUAAUGUACAGAAUUUCAUUUUACUGGCCCUUUCCCCUGCAACCAUGUUUGUAUUGCUUAAAUCACUUUUUUAAAAAAAUUAUUUUUACUGAGGUAUAAUUUACACACCAUAAAAUUCCCUAGUUUUAAGUGUAUGGUUCAAUACUUUUCAGUAACUUUACAGAGUCGUAUAACCAUCACCACAAUCUAAGGGUUUUUUUUUUUUUUUUUUAGAAUUUUUUUAAAAUU